rnacentral:rRNA from 1 species
AUGGAUAAGCACAGGCGCGGGCUCCGGCUACGGCAAUCGCUGGUGGUUCCAUGGAUUGUCGUGGUCAUGGUGGGAGCUGCCGUGUCGACGGCUGAGUUGGCGGAGUCGGACCUGGAGGCGUUCCGCGACGAGCGGGGCGGGCUGGUGGCGCUGCGCGACGGCCUGCGGUCGGCCAAGGACCUGCACUCCAACUGGACGGGCCCGCCGUGCCACGGCGGGCGGAGCCGGUGGUACGGCGUCUCCUGCGACGGCGACGGGCGCGUGGUUGGCGUCAGGCUCGACGGGGUUCAGCUCACGGGCGCGCUCCCCGCUGGCGCGCUCCGCGGCGUCGCGCGGCUUGCCACGCUCAGCCUGCGUGACAACGCCAUCCACGGCGCGCUCCCGGGGCUUGCCGGCCUGGACCGGCUCCGCGUCAUCGACCUGUCGAGCAACCGCUUCUCGGGCCCAAUCCCGCGCCGGUAUGCCGUGGAGCUCCCCGCGCUCACGCGGCUCGAGCUCCAGGACAACCUGCUCAACGGCACCGUGCCGUCGUUCGCGCAGGGCGAGCUCACCGUCUUCAACGUGUCCUACAACUUCCUCCAGGGCGAGGUCCCGGAUACGCGUGCGCUCCGCCGGUUCCCUGCGAGCGCUUUCGGCCACAACCUCAAGCUCUGCGGCGAGGCCGUGAACGCCGCGUGCGGGUCGGGUUCGCCAUCCGCCGACGAUGGAGACCGAUCAGCCAGCAGCCGCGACGAUCGGGUCGUCAGGCCGGCCGACCACGACGCCCGCGGGCGGGCCGCGCGCAAGUCAAGGCACUUCAAGCUGGCUGCGUGGAGCGUCGUGGCGAUCGCCCUUAUCGCCGCGAUGGUGCCGUUCGCCGCCGUGCUCAUCUUCCUGCAUCAGACCAAGAAGAGCCAGGAGGCUCGUCUCGGUGGCCGUGCCACGCCGACAGGAGCGCCGGACAUCAAGGAUAAAGCCGAGCAAGGCAAGUUGAGUGGCAGCGGCAGCGGCAGCAGCAGCGGUAGCCGGAACGCGCAGGCGCAGCUACAGUUCUUCCGUGCGGACAAGGCGGCCGGCUUCGACCUCGACGACCUGUUCCGUUCGACGGCGGAGAUGCUCGGCAAGGGACGGCUGGGGAUCACCUACCGCGUGACGCUCGAGGCCGGCACCGCCGUCGUCGUCGUGAAGCGGCUGCGCAACAUGGGGCACGUGCCGCGCAAGGACUUCGCGCACACCAUGCAGCUGCUGGGCAAGCUCCGGCACGAGAACGUGGUGGAGGUCGUCGCGUGCUACCACUCCAAAGAGGAGAAGCUCGCCGUCUACGAACACGUGCCCGGGCGCAGCCUCUUCGAGCUCCUGCACGAGAACAGAGGCGAGGGCAGAAUGCCGCUGCCGUGGCCGGCGAGGCUGUCGAUAGCGAAGGGCAUGGCGCGCGGGCUGGCGUACCUGCACCAGUCGGUGCCGUUUUUCCACCGGCCGCCGCACGGCAACCUCAAGUCGUCCAACGUGAUCAUCCUGUCGACGCCCAACGGCAAGCACCAGCAUCCGCACGUGGUGCCGAAGCUCACGGACUACGGCUUCCACCCGCUGCUCCCGCACCACGCGCACAGGCUGGCCGCGGCCAAGUGCCCGGAGUACGCCCGCGGCAAGCGACCGUCGUCCCGAGCCGACGUGUUCUGCUUCGGCCUCGUGCUGCUGGAGGUGGUGACGGGGAAGUUGCCGGUGGACGAGGCCGACGGCGACAUGGCGGAGUGGGCGCGUCUGGCGCUGAGCCACGAGUGGUCCACGGACAUACUCGACGUGGAGAUCGUCGGCGAGCUGGAACGGCACGGGGACAUGCUGAGGCUCACGGAGGUCGCGCUGAUGUGCGCUGCUGUCGAGCCCGACAGGCGGCCCAAGAUGCCCGACGUCGUCAGGAUGAUCGACGAGAUCGGCGGCGGCGCGGACGAGAAAGGGAGGUGGGAGCUCGUCGUAGGAUGA